rnacentral:lncRNA from 1 species
UUCAGAUAUGUAAAUAAGUUUGUUCAAUAAGAGUGAGGGGUAAAAAAGUGCUCCAAUCCCAUGUUAAUAUGAAUCUAUAUGUGUGUCAAAUUACAAUAUCUUGAAAAAUGCUAGGUACACAAUUGAGAAACUGAAUUGCAUGAAAUGGUGGGGGAAAAAAUCUAUAUAUUAUAUGUUUAGGAGUUUCUCUCUCUUGAUCACUUUUUACAUGUGGCAUCCUCUCAUUUAUCAUAAUCCAUGUGGCAACUUGUGAGAACAUCUUUUUCUAUGUGGCAACCUUUGAUAAUAUCUUCAAUAAAAAUAAAAAUUGGGAAC